UGAAUGGCUUGACGAUAAAUCAACUGUCUCUUAAUAAUUUUUAAAAUUUAACUUUUGAGUCAAAAGGCUUAAAUUUUUCUUUAGGACGAGAAGACCCUAUAGAGCUUAACAUUUUAUUUUUAUAUAGUUUUUAGUUGAUCUUUCUAUAUUUAAUGAUAAUGUUUUGUUGGGGUGACAUGAAGAAUAAUUAAACUCUUCAUUAUAAAAUCAUUGAUUUAUGUUUAUCAUGAUCCAUAAUUUAUGAUCAUAAGAUUAAGUUACCUUAGGGAUAACAGCGUAAUUGUUUUCGAGAGCUCAUAUCGACAAAGCAGAUUGCGACCUC
rnacentral:rRNA from 1 species